UAUAAUUUAAAUGUUAUUUUUAUGAUUCAUAUUGUCAACAUUUCAUUUGAUCUUCCAACCCAAUUUAAUAAAAUCAAUCAUAGUAAAAUACUCCCAAACAAAUGUAUAUAUACUAGACAUAGACAUGGACAUGGUACAAGUAAUAUUUUGAUUAUCCAACAGAAAUGGAUUAUGCAGAAUAAGGUCAACAUGUCAUAAAUAAUUAAUAGAUUUGGCAUAGCUGUGUCUUCUUCAAAUACAAAAUUUCCAAAGCUAAUGUAAUACAAGGGCAAGGAAAUGGUCUGACUAGGUAAACAAUUUGACUAUGCAACAGCCGUGGAUUUCUGCUGUGUCUUCUUCAAAUACAAAAUUUCCAAAGCUAAUGUAAUACAAGGGCAAGGAAAUGGUCUGACUAGGUAAACAAUUUGACUAUGCAACAGCCGUGGAUUUCUGCUUUUUAAGGCCGAACAAAUUCUCAAAUAGUUUUGGGGCCAUUGGGGGUAGGUCCAUGGGC
rnacentral:lncRNA from 1 species